rnacentral:rRNA from 1 species
UGGGGAAUCUUGGACAAUGGGCGCAAGCCUGAUCCAGCCAUGCCGCGUGAGUGAAGAAGGUCUUCGGAUUGUAAAGCUCUUUUACCAGGGACGAUAAUGACGGUACCUGGAGAAUAAGCCCCGGCAAACUUCGUGCCAGCAGCCGCGGUAAUACGAAGGGGGCUAGCGUUGUUCGGAAUUACUGGGCGUAAAGCGCACGUAGGCGGGCUAUUAAGUCAGGGGUGAAAUCCCGGAGCUCAACUCCGGAACUGCCUUUGAUACUGGUAGUCUAGAGAUCGGAAGAGGUUAGUGGAAUUCCCAGUGUAGAGGUGAAAUUCGUAGAUAUUGGGAAGAACACCAGUGGCGAAGGCGGCUAACUGGUCCGAUACUGACGCUGAGGUGCGAAAGCGUGGGGAGCAAACAGG